AGUGAACGCUGGCGGUAGGCCUAACACAUGCAAGUCGAACGGCAGCACAGUAAGAGCUUGCUCUUACGGGUGGCGAGUGGCGGACGGGUGAGGAAUACAUCGGAAUCUACUUUUUCGUGGGGGAUAACGUAGGGAAACUUACGCUAAUACCGCAUACGACCUACGGGUGAAAGCAGGGGAUCUUCGGACCUUGCGCGAUUGAAUGAGCCGAUGUCGGAUUAGCUAGUUGGCGGGGUAAAGGCCCACCAAGGCGACGAUCCGUAGCUGGUCUGAGAGGAUGAUCAGCCACACUGGAACGGAGACACGGUCAAGACUCCUAAGGGAGGCAGCAGUGGGGAAUAUUGGACAAUGGGCGCAAGCAUGAUCCAGCCAGACCGCGUGGGUGAAGAAGGCCUUCGGGUUGUAAAGACCUUUUGUUGGGAAAGAAAAGCAGCAGGUUAAUACCCCGCUGUUCUGACGGUACCCAAAGAAUAAGCACCGGCUAACUUCGUG
rnacentral:rRNA from 1 species